rnacentral:misc_RNA from 1 species
UCUCCGUUGGUGAACCAGCGGAGGGAUCAUUACCGAGUUUACAACUCCCAAACCCAAUGUGAACGUUACCAAACUGUUGCCUCGGCGGGGUCACGCCCCGGGUGCGUCGCAGCCCCGGAACCAGGCGACCGCCGGAGGAACCAACCAAACUCUUUCUGUAGUCCCCUCGCGGACGUUAUUUCUUACAGCUCUGAGCAAAAAUUCAAAAUGAAUCAAAACUUUCAACAACGGAUCUCUUGGUUCUG